rnacentral:RNase_P_RNA from 1 species
CGAGUUCGCCGGACGGUCGCGCGGUAUCAUGCCGAAAGGUUUUACCGUGAGGAAAGUCCGGGCUUCACAGGGCAGGAUAGCUGAUAACGUCAGCCGCGGGUGACCGCCGGGAAAGUGCAACAGAAAUAAACCGCCGGGGCGCAAGCCCGGGCAAGGGUGGAAAGGCGAGGUAAGAGCUCACCAGUUCGCACGGUAACGUGCGUCCGCUGUAAACCCUAUCCGAAGCAACACCGCAUGGGGAUCGUUUGCCCGACACAUAUCCCCGGGUGGCACCGGGAUUAUUCCCGGGAGCGGCGCGGCGACGCUCCGCACAGACAGAUGACCG